AUCCAACUGACGAGUCUCAAAUAGGACGUAAUGCGCGUCACGUAU
rnacentral:hammerhead_ribozyme from 1 species